GGACCACUAGUGCUGUGUGGGCCUGCAUACCCCAGGUACUGUAUUGUAGGACCACUAGUGCUGUGUGGGCCUGCGUACCCCAGGUACUGUAUUGUAGGACCACUAGUGCUGUGUGGGCCUGCGUACCCCAGGUACUGUAUUGUAGGACCACUAGUGCUGUGUGGGCCUGCGUACCCCAGGUACUGUAUUGUAGGACCACUAGUGCUGUGUGGGCCUGCGUACCCCAGGUACUGUAUUGUAGGACCACUAGUGCUGUGUGGGCCUGCGUACCCCAGGUACUGUAUUGUAGGACCACUAGUGCUGUGUGGGCCUGCGUACCCCAGGUACUGUAUUGUAGGACCACUAGUGCUGUGUGGGCCUGCGUACCCCAGGUACUGUGCUGUCGGAC